ACAUGAAUUUUUCUUUGUUUGUUCAUUAGAACUGACAGCUUUCACCUCCCUAUGUGCAAAAACAACACUCAUUUGCCACUUUAGGCACACCUGUCCAACUGCCUGUUAACGCAAAUUUCUAAUCACCCAAUCACAUGGCAGCAACUCGAUGAAUUUAGUCAUGUAGACAUCCUGUAGUUCAAACUGAGCAUCAGAAUGGAGAAGAAAGAGGAUUGUACAUGGCAUGAUUGUUGGUUUCAGAUUGUUGGUCUGACGGUCGCGCCUAAAGGUGGCUCCCGUUGCCACGGAAACAAAACAACUGCAGCCUUCCUUUUAUGGUCAGAGGAAGUGUCGACUCCACGCUGUGGCGCGUUGACGUCACGCGCAGGCGAUACGCCACGCACGCACUGCGCUGCCUGUGCUGCGGAGGAAUCAGGUCUCUGACCGAAAGAGCGGCGGAACGGUGAUGGAGCGACGAAUAAAUAAUUAACCCGCUGUCUCUGCGGCCCACUCGAUUCAAACACGACUCCGCGUCCGGCGGAGGCGCUUUGUUUCGGUCUGGAACCGAAAAUAGAGGCCCCGUCAUUUUUUUAGACGGAACCGAAGCAGGAAUUGGGGAUAUUUUGAUUUUUCGGAUCUAUUUUUUUUUUACUUUUCUUUGGCAUUCCUGGCUGCUCUUAAUCCAUUUCAAUAACCACAUUUUUGUAUGAAACCUAGGAAAAAUAAAGUUUUUCUAAUAAAUCACAGAGGCUCCA